rnacentral:rRNA from 1 species
GGACCCGCACAAGUAGUGGAGCAUGUGGUUUAAUUCGAAGAUACGCGCAGAACCUUACCAACACUUGACAUGUUCGUCGCGACUUUAAGAGAUUAAAGUUUUCGGUUCGGCCGGACGAAACACAGGUGCUGCAUGGCUGUCGUCAGCUCGUGUCGUGAGAUGUUGGUUAAGUCCCGCAACGAGCGCAACCCUCACUUUUAGUUGCCAUCAUUUAGUUGGGGACUCUGGAGAGACUGCCCCGUGUAAGCGAGGAGGAAGGCGGUGACGACGUCAAAUCAUCAUGGCCUUUAUGCCUAGGGGCUACACACGUGCUACAAUGGCAGGUACAGAGGGCAGCGAAGUCGCGAGGCUAAGCAAA